rnacentral:rRNA from 1 species
AGAGUUUGAUCAUGGCUCAGAGCGAACGCUGGCGGCAGGCCUAACACAUGCAAGUCGAGCGGCCGUAGCAAUACGGCAGCGGCAGACGGGAGAGUAACACGUGGGAACGCGCCCUUCGGUUCGGGAUAACUCAGGGAAACUUGGGCUAAUACCGGAUACGCCCUUACGGGGAAAGAUUUAUUGCCGAAGGAACGGCCCGCGUCCGAUUAGCUUGUUGGUGAGGUAACGGCUCACCAAGGCGACGAUCGGUAGCUGGUCUGAGAGGAUGACCAGCCUCACCGGGACUGAGACACGGCCCAGACUCCUACGGGAGGCAGCAGUGGGGAAUAUUGGACAAUGGGCGCAAGCCUGAUCCAGCCAUGCCGCGUGGGUGAUGAAGGCCCUAGGGUUGUAAAGCCCUUUCGGCGGGGAAGAUAAUGACGGUACCCGCAGAAGAAGCCCCGGCUAACUUCGUGCCAGCAGCCGCGGUAAUACGAAGGGGGCUAGCGUUGCUCGGAAUUACUGGGCGUAAAGCGCACGUAGGCGGCUUUCUAAGUCGGGGGUGAAAUCCUGGAGCUCAACUCCAGAACUGCCUUCGAUACUGGAGAGCUCGAGUCCGGGAGAGGUGAGUGGAACUGCGAGUGUAGAGGUGAAAUUCGUAGAUAUUCGCAAGAACACCAGUGGCGAAGGCGGCUCACUGGCCCGGUACUGACGCUGAGGUGCGAAAGCGUGGGGAGCAAACAGGAUUAGAUACCCUAGUAGUCC